AGAGUUUGAUCCUGGCUCAGAACGAACGCUGGCGGCAGGCUUAACACAUGCAAGUCGAACGCGUGUAGCAAUACACGAGUGGCGCACGGGUGAGUAACACGUGGAUAUCUGCCUUUUGGUUCGGAAUAACCCUGGGAAACUAGGGCUAAUACCGAAUGGUUCCUACGGGAUAAAGAUUUAUCGCCAAAAGAUGAGUCCGC
rnacentral:rRNA from 1 species